rnacentral:rRNA from 1 species
GUGGGGAAUAUUGCACAAUGGGCGGAAGCCUGAUGCAGCAACGCCGCGUGCGGGAUGACGGCCUUCGGGUUGUAAACCGCUUUCAGCAGGGACGAAGCGCAAGUGACGGUACCUGCAGAAGAAGCACCGGCUAACUACGUGCCAGCAGCCGCGGUGAUACGUAGGGUGCGAGCGUUGUCCGGAUUUAUUGGGCGUAAAGAGCUUGUAGGCGGUUGGUUGCGUCGAAAGUGCAAACUCAGGGCUUAACUCUGAGCCUGCUUUCGAUACGGGCUGACUGGAGGAAGGUAGGGGAGAAUGGAAUUCCCGGUGGAGCGGUGGAAUGCGCAGAUAUCGGGAGGAACACCAGUGGCGAAGGCGGUUCUCUGGACCUUUCCUGACGCUGAGAAGCGAAAGCGUGGGGAGCAAACAGGCUUAGAUACCCCGGUAGUCC